rnacentral:rRNA from 1 species
AUUGAACGCUGGCGGCAUGCUUUACACAUGCAAGUCGAACGGCAGCGCGGGGGCAACCUGGUGGCGAGUGGCGAACGGGUGAGUAAUGCAUCGGAACGUGCCAUUGAGUGGGGGAUAACGUAGCGAAAGUUGCGCUAAUACCGCAUAUUCUGUGAGCAGGAAAGCAGGGGACCGCAAGGCCUUGCGCUCUUUGAGCGGCCGAUGUCAGAUUAGCUAGUUGGUGAGGUAAAGGCUUACCAAGGCGACGAUCUGUAGCGGGUCUGAGAGGAUGAUCCGCCACACUGGAACUGAGACACGGUCCAGACUCCUACGGAGGCAGCAGUGGGGAAUUUUGGACAAUGGGCGCAAGCCUGAUCCAGCCAUGCCGCGUGAGUGAAGAAGGCUCGG